rnacentral:siRNA from 1 species
CCAUCAAGUUGUUGAAAUUGCUGC